GUCCACGCCCUAAACGAUGUCAACUGGGUGUUGGGGAAGUGAUUCCUUGGUACCAUAGCUAACGCGUGAAGUUGACCGCCUGGGGAGUACGGCCGCAAGGUUAAAACUCAAAGGAAUUGACGGGGACCCGCACAAGCGGUGGAUGAUGUGGAUUAAUUCGAUGCAACGCGAACAACCUUACCUACCCUUGACAUGUCCGGAAGCCUGGUGAGAGCUGGGUGUGCCCGAAAGGGAAUCGGAACACAGGUGCUGCAUGGCUGUCGU
rnacentral:rRNA from 1 species